rnacentral:rRNA from 1 species
UUUGAUCCUGGCUCAGAAUCAACGCUGGCGGCGUGCCUAACACAUGCAAGUCGAACGCGAAAGUCCCGCAAGGGAUCAGUAGAGUGGCAAACGGGUGAGUAACGCGUGGGUGACCUGCCUUCGAGCGGGGGAUAACGUCCCGAAAGGGACGCUAAUACCGCAUGACAUCCUGCCUUUGAAGAGGCGGAGAUCAAAGCCGGGGAUUCGCAAGAACCUGGCACUUGAAGAGGGGCCCGCGUCUGAUUAGCUAGUUGGUGGGGUAAUGGCUCACCAAGGCAACGAUCAGUAUCCGGCCUGAGAGGGCGGACGGACACACUGGGACUGAGACACGGCCCAGACUCCUACGGGAGGCAGCAGUGGGGAAUUGUUCGCAAUGGGCGCAAGCCUGACGACGCAACGCCGCGUGGAGGAUGAAGAUCUUCGGGUCGUAAACUCCUUUCGAUCGAGACGAACGGCUUCCGGGUGAACAAUCCGGGAGAGUGACGGUACCGAGAGAAGAAGCCCCGGCUAACUCCGUGCCAGCAGCCGCGGUAAUACGGGGGGGGCAAGCGUUGUUCGGAAUUACUGGGCGUAAAGGGCUCGUAGGUGGCCAACUAAGUCAGACGUGAAAUCCCUCGGCUUAACCGGGGAACUGCAUCUGAUACUGGAUGGCUUGAGAUUGGGAGAGGGAUGCGGAAUUCCAGGUGUAGCGGUGAAAUGCGUAGAUAUCUGGAGGAACACCGGUGGCGAAGGCGGCAUCCUGG